ACUGUGAAUGGAGUGAGAGGUCGCGGACCCGCGGUAGGAGGAGUAGCAGGACGGAGUUAAGGAGAGCGCGAGCGCUCACGAGCGCCACACACUCACGGAAACCCAACCGCAGCUACUUCCGCCCACACUAAAGAUGGCGGCUCCCUUCUUGGAGAAAAUAGCCGAAUAUUUCGGUUCACCCGAACCGGCUAUUCGAUUGAUUUUGUCUGUCUUAUUAGGUUAUCCCUUUGCACUGGUGUACCGGUGGUUUUUCUUUCAUCAGUCUGCGACAGUUGUUCAUCUCUUCCACACAUUCUCCGGCCUGGCACUAGCCACGUUUAAUUUUGGGUCUCAGGUCUUUCACUCCUUCUUAUGUGUAGUCAUUCAGUUCUUGAUGCUGAGGCUGAUGGGAAGGACAGUCACAUGUGUUCUGAGUAGCUUUAUCUUUCAGAUGACAUAUCUGUUGACGGGUUAUUACUACACAGCUACAGACGAGUAUGAUAUCAAAUGGACCAUGCCUCACUGUGUCCUCACACUCAAACUCAUCGGUUUAGCGCUUGAUUACUAUGACGGUGGAAAAGAACAAUCUCAGAUUACCGCAGAGCAGAAGAAGUCUGCCCUCAGCUGUACGCCGUCUCUGUUGGAGGUCUUUGGAUUUUCAUACUUCUAUGGAGGCUUUCUGGUAGGGCCUCAAUUCACACUGCGAAACUACCAGAUGCUGGUGUCUCGAGAGAUGUCCGAUGUCCCCGGACAACCACCUAAUAGUGUGGUUCCAGCAAUGAAGCGAUUCGGUUUAGGUCUGAUCACCCUAUCAAUCUUUGCGAUAGGCGGGCCGCUCUACCCAGCUAGCUACUACUUAACAGAUGAGUUUGAGGCACAUGCAUUCUGGUACAAAUGUGUGUACAUCCUAGUGUGGGUGAAAAUAAACCUGUACAAGUACAUCAGCUGCUGGCUAAUCACGGAAGGUGUGUGUGUACUCUCCGGGUUGGGCUAUAAUGGGAAAAACGAAAAAGGGGAGCCCCAAUGGGAUGCCUGUGCCAAUGUGAGGGUGUGGCUAUUUGAGACCACGCCCCUCUUUACAGGCACCAUCAAUUCCUUCAACAUCAAUACAAAUGCUUGGGUGGCCAGGCAUGUGUUUAAGAGGUUGAAGUUUAUGGGUAACAAGUUGCUGUCGCAAAUGUUCACAUUGUUAUUCCUGGCUGUCUGGCACGGCUUGCAUUCAGGAUACCUCAUCUGCUUUUCCAUGGAGUUCAUCAUUGUCAAUGUAGAGAAACAGGCUCAGGCACUGGUGCGGGACAGUCCUUUGCUGACAUCCAUCGCUCAAAGUCAUCUGUAUCCACUAGUUUAUGUAGUACAGCAGUUAAUUCACUGGCUAUUUAUGGGAUACCCUCUGGUGCCAUUCUGCCUCUUCACUUACGACAAGUGGCUCAAGGUUUACUACUCUAUUUAUUUCUGUGGUCACAUCUUUUUCUUCGCUGCCUUUCUCGUUAUGCCAUACCUCCGCAAGGUGUUCGUGCCUCGAAAAAGAGGCAGUGAGAAAAAGGAGGAUUAAUUAAAAAGUGUGACACAUCUAUUAUUUCCUGUGUUUGCGGCAGCAGUGGAAGCUUAUGCUACUGCUUCAGAUCAUGUUUGUUUGCGGCCAUCUAAGUUUGACUGAAGUGAACUGUGACUUUUAAAGAACACCUGAAGAGGACAAAUUUUAAGGCCUUUAGUAAUAUAUUACUAUUUACAUACAGCACUGAUGUAUGUGUACAAAUGUUAGUGCGUUUGAAAGUUUUCUCAUUCUUUGGGAAUCGUGGUGGACUAUAAUGAAAAGGGUUAAAAGCUGCAGAAGUACAAACAUUUCUGAGGUUCAAUAUUCGUUAAAUAAGAUUUACUGAUGUUUGGUGGCUGAAAAUAAUUAUACUGUAUCUGCUCAUACCAUUGCACUCAUUACUCACAGGAAACAGGAAAUGAGAUCAUUACUAAUCAGAACUGGCUUUUGCUCUCGCUGAGGACGUGUGUGCACUUUUAGAGGGAAUGUAGAGCAUGAUUUUGAAAGAUGGAAACAAAUGAGACCUUUUUUUAUUUUCUUUUGCUAGCAACUCCCAACUUGCUUACCUUUAGAUUGAAAAGAAAAACACUGAAAUGUGAAACAAACAUAAGAGUGAGCAGUGACUGAACACUCACCAUUGCCUGGCAUUAUAAAUGAAUGUUUUUCAUUUUUAUAACCAUUUUUGUCUUGUGAUCAGACAACUUCUGAUGGGGGACCUUCUCAUUUUUUUUUUUUUUUUUAGGAAGGGGUUUUAUGAUAACUGCUUUUUUUUUAUAGGUUUUUUUUCUGACACACUUUCAUAAAAAGGCUCAUCAUUCUGUCAUCUCAUCCUCUCACUCCAUUUAACACUGUCAGUCCAUCCACCUGACCUUUUCUCAUUCACUCCAUUUUCUCCAGCAAAUCUUUGUCCAGUGUAUGAGCACAAGCAAAACAGAAACCACAGAAAUGCAUCAACACUACUCACCGGAAUCAUAUAUGAGGGUAAAUUUGUGUCAAUAUUAUUAAGAGCAGAGUAUUAUAUAUAUAUAUUUAAAUUAUAAGUAUUUAGUGAGCAAUGAACUAACUGUGCACAUAAAAAAAAACUGCUGUUAUUCAGAUUGAAAAAGUGUGUGUGUUUGUGUGUUUUUGUGUACAGUCCUUUAAAAAUGUCAUUGUGUUGCAUUGCACAGUGAAGUUAUUUUUAUACUUAAAAAAAUUUCAACAUUUCUCAUCGAACAUCAGGUCUUUUUUUCUUUGCCAUCUGCUCUCAGUAAUUCCUACGCAUAUUUGCCUUCAUAUCCGUUCUGUAUGACAUGACAUAUUGAAGACCCUUGGCACAAAUGUACAUCACUCUUCAGUGAGGACCGAUUUUUAAAACCUGCACCCAGAUUCAAUCCGAAGAAGCAGAGGCUCACUGUAGCAACGGAAUUGUUUUAUAAUAUUUAUACAUGUGGUUGCAAAUUUUAAUGAUGUAAAAAUUGUUUUUGGGAAACAACUACUACUGCCUUACUGCUACCAAAUGUACAAAAAAAAAAAAAAAAAAAAAAAUUACUUUUAAAUGAAAACGUUUUUUGUAAUAUUCAUUAAAAAUGCUGGAUUUUAACAAAA